GUCUGCUGCAAUGGGCAGAGAGACACCUCAUUGGGGGUGUUCUUCUAUCAGUCAGGAGCAGAGCAGAGGGCAGUCCUUUCUUCAUCCUAGCCUGGUACCUGGCUUGGUGGCCAAAGCUGCCUUAUGCCUCAGAGUCAUAA